rnacentral:rRNA from 1 species
UACGGAGGAGGCAAGCGUUAUCCGGAAUUAUUGGGCGUAAAGCGUCCGUAGGUGGUUUAGUAAGUCUGCUGUUAAAGCGCGGGGCUUAACUCCGUAUCGGCAGUGGAAACUACUAGACUAGAGUGUGGUAGGGGUAGAGGGAAUUCCCAGUGUAGCGGUGAAAUGCGUAGAUAUUGGGAAGAACACCGGUGGCGAAGGCAGGUCUCUGGGCCAUUACUGACACUGAGAAGCGAAAGCAUGGGAGCGAACAGG